GCACGGGUAUUGAACAAAAAUUUAGUAAACAAAUUUAGUAAAUAAAUAAUAAAUAGUAUAUUUUGCACUACUCGAACAAUAUGCUCAGAUAGAACAAGCUCUGCUGAAUCAGUGCAAAUCAUUACCAGCACUGCCACAGAUGAAACGCAGGAAGCUCGCGUGUGUCUAAUAACAAAACUGCCUUUUUUCAAAAAGCAUCGACACAGUUAUAUCAAAAAUAAACGUAAAAAAAACACAAAAACAAGAGAGCUAUGUGGAUUCUAGUAGACGCUCAUUUGAAAAGACGUCGGAGUUUCGACACAUGAGACAUGGAGAUGUGGUUGGUUUUUGCAUAAAUAAGAAAAAAAUAA